rnacentral:rRNA from 1 species
CAGUAGCCGCGGUAAUACGAAGGGGGCUAGCGUUGUUCGGAAUUACUGGGCGUAAAGCGCACGUAGGCGGAUCUUUAAGUCAGGGGUGAAAUCCCGAGGCUCAACCUCGGAACUGCCUUUGAUACUGGGGAUCUCGAGUCCGGAAGAGGUAAGUGGAACUGCGAGUGUAGAGGUGAAAUUCGUAGAUAUUCGCAAGAACACCAGUGGCGAAGGCGGCUUACUGGUCCGGAACUGACGCUGAGGUGCGAAAGCGUGGGGAGCAAACAGGAUUAGAGACCCCCGUAGUCCCUGUCUCUUAUAC